rnacentral:rRNA from 1 species
AGGGAUUACCUCAGUAACGGCGAGUGAAGCGGUAACAGCUCAAAUUUGAAAUCUGGCCCUUUCAGGGUCCGAGUUGUAAUUUGUAGAAGAUGCUUCGGGUGUGGCUCCGGUCUAAGUCCCUUGGAACAGGGCGUCAUAGAGGGUGAGAAUCCCGUAUGUGACUGGCUGCCUCCGCCCAUGUGAAGCUCUUUCGACGAGUCGAGUUGUUUGGGAAUGCAGCUCAAAAUGGGUGGUAAAUUUCAUCUAAAGCUAAAUAUUGGCCAGAGACCGAUAGCGCACAAGUAGAGUGAUCGAAAGAUGAAAAGCACUUUGGAAAGAGAGUUAAACAGUACGUGAAAUUGUUGAAAGGGAAGCGCUUGCAAUCAGACUUGCGCGCUGUUGAUCAUCGGAGGUUCUCCCCCGUGCACUCGGCAGCGCUCAGGCCAGCAUCGGUUUGGGUGGUUAGAUAAAGGCCUUGGGAAUGUAGCUUCUUUCGGGGAGUGUUAUAGCCCUCGGUGCAAUGUAGCCUACCCGGACCGAGGACCGCGCUUCGGCUAGGAUGCUGGCGUAAUGGUUGUAAGCGACCCGUCUUGAAACACGGACCAAGGAGUCUAACAUCUAUGCGAGUAUUUGGGUGUCAAACCCAUAUGCGUAAUGAAAGUGAACGGAGGUGAGAACCCUUAAGGGUGCAUCAUCGACCGGUCCUGAAGUCUUCGGAUGGAUCUGAGUAAGAGCAUAGCUGUUGGGACCCGAAAGAUGGUGAACUAUGCCUGAAUAGGGUGAAGCCAGAGGAAACUCUGGUGGAGGCUCGCAGCGGUUCUGACGUGCAAAUCGAUCGUCAAAUUUGGGUAUAGGGGCGAAAGACUAAU